rnacentral:rRNA from 1 species
AUUGAACGCUGGCGGCAUGCUUUACACAUGCAAGUCGAACGGUAACAGGCCGCAAGGUGCUGACGAGUGGCGAACGGGUGAGUAAUGCAUCGGAACGUGCCCAGUCGUGGGGGAUAACUACUCGAAAGAGUAGCUAAUACCGCAUACGAUCUAUGGAUGAAAGCGGGGGACCGUAAGGCCUCGCGCGAUUGGAGCGGCCGAUGUCAGAUUAGGUAGUUGGUGGGGUAAAGGCUCACCAAGCCAACGAUCUGUAGCUGGUCUGAGAGGACAACCAGCCACACUGGGACUGAGACACGGCCCAGACUCCUACGGGAGGCAGCAGUGGGGAAUUUUGGACAAUGGGCGCAAGCCUGAUCCAGCAAUGCCGCGUGCAGGAAGAAGGCCUUCGGGUUGUAAACUGCUUUUGUACGGAACGAAACGGCUCUGGUUAAUACCCGGGGCUAAUGACGGUACCGUAAAAAUAAGCACCGGCUAACUACGUG